rnacentral:rRNA from 1 species
GAUGAACGCUGGCGGCGUGCCUAAUACAUGCAAGUCGAGCGAACAGACGAUGAGCUUGCUCCUCUGACGUUAGCGGCUGACGGGUGAGUAACACGUGGAUAACCUACCUAUUAUACUGGGAUAACUUCGGGAAACCGGAGCUAAUACCGGAUAAUAUAUUGAACCGCAUGGUUCAAUAGUGAAAGACGGUUUUGCUGUCACUUAUAGAUGGAUCCGCGUCGCAUUAGCUAGUUGGUAAGGUAACGGCUUACCAAGGCGACGAUGCGUAGCCGACCUGAGAGGGUGAUCGGCCACACUGGAACUGAGACACGGUCCAGACUCCUACGGGAGGCAGCAGUGGGGAAUCUUGCGCAAUGGGCGAAAGCCUGACGGAGCAACGCCGCGUGAGUGAUGAAGGUCUUCGGAUCGUAAAACUCUGUUGUUAGGGAAGAAAAAAUGUGGAAGUAACUAUGCACGUCUUGACGGUACCUAAACAGAAAGCCACGGCUAACUACGUG